rnacentral:rRNA from 1 species
UACGUUCCCGGGCCUUGUACACACCGCCCGUCACACCACGAAAGUCGGCAAUACCCGAAGCCGGUGGCCUAACCCGCAAGGGGGGAGCCGUCGAAGGUAGGGUCGAUGAUUGGGGUG